rnacentral:rRNA from 1 species
GCAUAUCAAUAAGCGGAGGAAAAGAAACUAACAAGGAUUCCCCUAGUAACGGCGAGUGAAGAGGGAAGAGCCCAAGAUUGAAAGCUGGCGUCUUCGGCGUCCGCAUUGUAAUCUCAAGAAGUGUUUUCCGCUUCGGACCAUGCCUAAGUCCCUUGGAAAAGGGCAUCAUAGAGGGUGAUAAUCCCGUACAUGGCAUGGAGCGCCCGAGGCUUUGUGAUACGCUUUCUAAGAGUCGAGUUGUUUGGGAAUGCAGCUCAAAAUGGGUGGUAAAUGCCAUCUAAGGCUAAAUAUUGGGGAGAGACCGAUAGCGAACAAGUACAGUGAUGGAAAGAUGAAAAGAACUUUGAAAAGAGAGUUAAACAGUACGUGAAAUUGCCAAAAGGGAAGGGUAGGAGGUCAGAGAUGCGUCUUGGAAUUCAGCCUUGCUUUUUGUUUGGUGUUUUUUCCAAGUUUGCAGGCCAACGUCGGUUUUGGGCACUGGAGAAGGGUGGAAGGAACGUGGCACCUCUCGAGGUGUGUUAUAGCCUUCUACUGGAUACAGCGACCGAGACCGAGGACAGCAGCGUACUCGCAAGAGCGGGCCCUCGGGCACCUUUACGCUUAGGGCGUUGGCAUAAUGGCCCUCUACCACCCGUCUUGAAACACGGACC